CGCGCGUGCCGCUUCGUUGUUCCCUGCGACGCGACGCCGGUCGAGCAUCUCUUAAACGUACGAAUUGCCAGGCGUAUACGCAACGUUAACAUUCUGGCUCGCGUCGGGAUCGAUUUACGUUGGUGUUUCCUGUGAAAUCAAUUCACCGAAAUGACGGGAAAUCGUAUUCUGGUAUUUCCGAGCCGCUGUUUCGAGAUGCGUCGUUUAUAGAAGGCACACGAUUCAUCGAUCAGUGCAAUGCAACAAUGUAAGAGGAUAUCACAGAAAACAACAACAGGAGGAAAA